rnacentral:rRNA from 1 species
ACAAUGAAGAGUUUGAUCCUGGCUCAGGAUGAACGCUAGCUACAGGCUUAACACAUGCAAGUCGAGGGGCAGCAUUUUAGUUUGCUUGCAAACUGAAGAUGGCGACCGGCGCACGGGUGAGUAACACGUAUCCAACCUGCCGAUAACUCCGGGAUAGCCUUUCGAAAGAAAGAUUAAUACCGGAUGGCAUACGAAUAUCGCAUGAUAUUUUUAUUAAAGAAUUUCGGUUAUCGAUGGGGAUGCGUUCCAUUAGUUUGUUGGCGGGGUAACGGCCCACCAAGACUACGAUGGAUAGGGGUUCUGAGAGGAAGGUCCCCCACAUUGGAACUGAGACACGGUCCAAACUCCUACGGGAGGCAGCAGUGAGGAAUAUUGGUCAAUGGGCGAGAGCCUGAACCAGCCAAGUAGCGUGAAGGAUGAAGGCUCUAUGGGUCGUAAACUUCUUUUAUAUGGGAAUAAAGUUUUCCACGUGUGGAAUUUUGUAUGUACCAUAUGAAUAAGGAUCGGCUAACUCCGUGCCAGCAGCCGCGGUAAUACGGAGGAUCCGAGCGUUAUCCGGAUUUAUUGGGUUUAAAGGGAGCGUAGGUGGAUUGUUAAGUCAGUUGUGAAAGUUUGCGGCUCAACCGUAAAAUUGCAGUUGAAACUGGCAGUCUUGAGUACAGUAGAGGUGGGCGGAAUUCGUGGUGUAGCGGUGAAAUGCUUAGAUAUCACGAAGAACUCCGAUUGCGAAGGCAGCUCACUAGACUGUCACUGACACUGAUGCUCGAAAGUGUGGGUAUCAAACAGGAUUAGAUACCCUGGUAGUCCACACAGUAAACGAUGAAUACUCGCUGUUUGCGAUAUACAGUAAGCGGCCAAGCGAAAGCAUUAAGUAUUCCACCUGGGGAGUACGCCGGCAACGGUGAAACUCAAAGGAAUUGACGGGGGCCCGCACAAGCGGAGGAACAUGUGGUUUAAUUCGAUGAUACGCGAGGAACCUUACCCGGGCUUAAAUUGCAACAGAAUAUAUUGGAAACAGUAUAGCCGUAAGGCUGUUGUGAAGGUGCUGCAUGGUUGUCGUCAGCUCGUGCCGUGAGGUGUCGGCUUAAGUGCCAUAACGAGCGCAACCCUUAUCUUUAGUUACUAACAGGUUAUGCUGAGGACUCUAGAGAGACUGCCGUCGUAAGAUGUGAGGAAGGUGGGGAUGACGUCAAAUCAGCACGGCCCUUACGUCCGGGGCUACACACGUGUUACAAUGGGGGGUACAGAAGGCGGCUACCUGGUGACAGGAUGCUAAUCCCAAAAACCUCUCUCAGUUCGGAUCGAAGUCUGCAACCCGACUUCGUGAAGCUGGAUUCGCUAGUAAUCGCGCAUCAGCCAUGGCGCGGUGAAUACGUUCCCGGGCCUUGUACACACCGCCCGUCAAGCCAUGAAAGCCGGGGGUACCUGAAGUACGUAACCGCAAGGAGCGUCCUAGGGUAAAACUGGUAAUUGGGGCUAAGUCGUAACAAGGUAGCCGUACCGGAAGGUGCGGCUGGAACACCUCCUUU